UUAUAGAUAUAGGCAAAAAUGCCAUUCACGCUGUAACAAGUGGUUUUAGUGAUGGUGUUCACUUUUACCAUAAGGACAAACAACAUUAUUAGAAAUGAAACUGAUCAUCUCAAGUCCAUCGAAAAUCUUCAGUUGUGGAUUGCAUGCCAUACAUUACUUUUUUUAACAGCUUUGUAAGCAAGCUCUUUAGAACUUGCUAUGAAAAUACUAAUAAAAAUCUUUCUUGCAUUA